GGAUAGCUCAGUUGGUAGAGCAGGAGACUCUAACUCUUAAGGUCAUGGGUUCAAGCCACCCAGAUUGGCCA